rnacentral:rRNA from 1 species
UACGAAGGGGGCUAGCGUUGCUCGGAAUCACUGGGCGUAAAGGGUGCGUAGGCGGGUCUUUAAGUCAGGGGUGAAAUCCUGGAGCUCAACUCCAGAACUGCCUUUGAUACUGAAGAUCUUGAGUUCGGGAGAGGUGAGUGGUAACUGCGAGUGUAGAGGUGAAAUUCGUAGAUAUUCGCAAGAACACCAGUGGCGAAGGCGGCUCACUGGCCCGAUACUGACGCUGAGGCACGAAAGCGUGGGGAGCAAACAGG